UACGUAGGGGGCGAGCGUUGUCCGGAAUUACUGGGCGUAAAGGGCGUGUAGGCGGCUUUUUAAGUCGCAUGUGAAAUCCACGGGCUCAACUUGUGGUAUGCAUGCGAUACUGAAGAGCUUGAGUACGGGAGAGGGUAGUGGAAUUCCUAGUGUAGGAGUGAAAUGCGUAGAGAUGUGGAGGAACACCGAUGGCGAAGGCAGCCCCCUGGGUCAACACUGACGCUCAUGCACGAAAGCGUGGGUAGCAAACAGG
rnacentral:rRNA from 1 species